rnacentral:rRNA from 1 species
UACGAAGGGUGCAAACGUUGCUCGGAAUUAUUGGGCGUAAAGCGCACGUAGGCGGCUUGGCAAGUCGGAUGUGAAAUCCCUCGGCUCAACCAAGGAAGUGCAUCCGAAACUGCCGAGCUUGAGUACUUAAGAGGAUCGCGGAAUUCCCGGUGUAGAGGUGAAAUUCGUAGAUAUCGGGAGGAACACCAGUGGCGAAGGCGGCGAUCUGGGAAGAUACUGACGCUGAGGCGCGAAAGCUAGGGGAGCAAACGGG